AAUUCCCCCCUUUUCCUAUUUACUCUAGUAUUUUCCAAAAUAUUUUCCCUUCUCUCAGUUUUACUUAAAGUUGAAAUNCAUCCAUCCCGCUAAUCACAAAUUUCAUUUUUGAUUUCCCCCUAAAUUUCACUCUGCGCUUGCCCACAAAUUUCACUUCGCGUCCAUCCCUCAAACCUGACAGUUCUUAGUGGAGCAAAUCCUUGUUGCAUUGUCUUCAUCAUUUCUUGUCGCCCAGCCAAGGUUCAUCAAGGAUUCAGGAAACCAGCCUCCUUCAAGAAACCAAUAGGCUCUUGGUCAGGUAUAAAGAUUCUCCAUUAAAGCUAGGCGUUUUGAUUAGAGAAGUGAUGAUGUUGUUGAAGGCAUCACCAACAAGCCACACCUCGAGUCAGUGCUCUCCUUUGCCACAUCUUCGUUGUGCUCGCGUCAGCNUUUGCACCUCAUCUUCAGUUUCACAUUGCUUCUCUCAUUCUCACGAAGCAUCACCAAAAAACAACACCUCGAGUUCUCUCUCUUGCAGCANCCACAGUUCUUCGUAGGUCCACCUUUUCUCCUCACAGUUCUACCUUAUUUCAGCCAUUUCGGCCUUAGAAACACCAUCUUCACCGAUUAGUUCUUUGAUAUUAACCGUUUAAAUCCUAUUUUGCUCUGAUUAAACACUUUUCCACCGUUUAAUCUCAAUUUUGAUUCGUUUAAUCGGUUAACUUAGUGUUUUAGGGUUCUUUCACCGUUCGAUUUAGGGUUUCCUUUCUACAUUCACGGUUUUGGUUUGUUUGCUCUUGGAUACGUGUUUUUCCCUUUGCGUCUAAGAUUUCAUUCAUUCUNCUUCGAGUUUUUCAUCGUUCCGCUGCGUUUCUCUCUUCGAGGAAGCUUCGAAGGAGUCCAUAGCGUGUUCGUUUNGAAAUAGGUAAGUCAACUUUUAGGAAUACUGUUAUCACGCCAGGACAAAGGAUCUGGAGAGAAAUUUUGACCCUUAUGGGAAAAUAUUAAAUAUAAGGAUCAAAANGAAUUUUGCUUUUAUUCAGUAUGAAUCACGGGAGGAUGCUACUAGAGUUAUAGAUGUAACCAACCUAAGGUUUGUAACAUGUUUUGAAUUCACUAAUAUGUUUUUUUUUUGUGUAGGAACGAGGCUUCUAUAUUGGAAUGGAACAGAACCGAGGUUGUCUCAUUGAGACCAAAUUGAUCAAAGAGUUCCUUCCAAUGGGCAGAGACUGUUGAUGGCAAAUNGUGAAUUGUGUAUUGACUUAGAUUUCCUUCUCUCUCUUGCUUUGUUGAAGACUAUUGAAGCAAAACGCAUAUCAGUUGAUCAGGGUGCAUAAUUCUAUUAUUAGGUAAAAAUCAGGGUGCAUAUUUCUAUUAUUAAGUAAUAAAAAAAAAUGGUGCAGUACUAUAGGUGGCAAUUACUAUAGUGGGCAUAUUUUUGUUUGAUUGACUNGGUAUAGGAUAUUUAAGUGCUUCAGUGAUUUGUAUGAUUAUGGAGUUCUAAAAGUUUCUUUUAUAGAAUUACUNUGUUUUAGCCAGAAAAGUCUUUGUUAUACAAAAUUAAAAGAUGGGGUGAAAGGUACCUUGUGGAUGCAGUGAUUGUGUGUUUCUGGAAUGAUUAUUAUGGUGUGCAUUACUAAAAGUAAUAGGUUGUCUGGAAGUGGUUACAAAUAAUAGUUGUAUGGUGAUUAAAAUGACUAAACAUAUUAUCANAUACAUGCUUGAUUGAACUAGAUUAGGUUGUCUAAAUAUAUUAAACCUGAGAAUAACAGUAAUCAUCUUAUCUGCAAUCUGUUUGAUAACCUUAACCUCAAUUUGUUUUGAUAUGUGUUAACUGAUUUAGAUUUCAUAAGGUAAGUAAUUGGUUAAUGAAUUAUGAUAAAAAUCGGUUUUGCGGAAUGGGUUAAAAGUGAAUGAAAUUUUGGGAAACUAAUAAGUUUGAAGACUGAUGUUAAUUUCUGCAUCAUUGCUCUGAGUUAAUUUCAACAUCAUGGCUCUGGGUAGGCAAUUUACGUGAGGUAUUAUGGGUUAAUGAAGUUCUGAUUCAUCUCUUAAAAUUCCAUAAGAUUGCAAAAUGGGUAAUGAAUAAUUCUAGAAAAUAUUUUCAUUGAUUAGUUUUGUUGUUAAACUACAUAAAUACCUUAUUGUCUUGUACAUAAAAACCUUGUUUUAUUGAAAAAUCUACACUAGGAACCUUGAUGUUUUAUUGAAAUAUCUCCAUCAAGAUGUUGUUGUUUGCACUAUAGUUAGGCUGUUAAUAUCAUUUCAAAUUUGUUCACACAAGUGAACUUUGAGUUAAGUUGUUUAAAGCUUGUGAGUUUUAGUUGCUGGUUAAUUAAUCCAAAUACACAAUGUCUAUAAAUAACANUUGAUUAAUAUUGAUGUGGUUGUACUUACUCUUCUUGCAUGAGAGGAAGGAUCUACGAUGGGAAUUAUGGACACUCUUCUUGCACUUCCUGUUGUGAGUAUAAUAAUAACUUCAGACCAUCAAAUUGUUUUAUCACACUACACACAAUACUCGUUAUAAUAAGCGUAUUAGAAAGUAAAAUGAUCAAAGAAAAUAUGCUUUNCGGNNAGUGANUUAGUGAAAUAAUACUUGACUUGGAAAGAUUGGAGAAUUAAUGGUUUUUUAUUCUCAUUAACUUACAAGUUUACUCUGAAGUGCUUUUUACAGCAAAGUUUUAUCAUUCUAAUCACUUAUACUUUGGCAGAGUUUUUACUAUGUUCAAACCCCUUAAUAUCAUAUAUCAUAUAUUGAAUACUGCAUCAGCCAGAUUAUAUUAUUCAUGCAUACGUGUUAGUUAUCUGAAUUCUAGGAAGCAUUUUACUCACAUUAUGUAUAUAGAUUCCAUUUAUCUAUUUCCAUUCUUGUAGGAAAAACCCUCAACAGAAGAGAACGAUGAGAUAUUGUCCAUACUUGUCAAUAUGGAUUCAAUUUUGAGGAGGCUUGCACAACUAUAGACAAAUGUGGUGUGUUUAGUGUGUAAUUGUUACUCUUAUAUAUGUUAUCAACACAUUUUAAGUUUCUUUUUGUUUUAUUUUCGUCUCUCCAGUAUCAGCAGUAUUAAAUGGUCUAAGAUGGUCAAUUAAAUAAUGAAAAAGGAGAUUUGUCUGGUGAUUUAAAUAUUUAUUUUUGAGCAACAUUUGUCAGGUACUAAAGCGUUGAUCUGGUAGAUUUCAUCAGUGUUUUUCAAUUAGAAGAUGAAAUUGACUUGCUUCAAGAUCUGCCUAAAGAUAAACAUGUUGCACCUGUUGAUACAUAGAGGUAUGGUGAGGUUUAUAAUCCUAUGAAAUUAGUUCUGCUUGUAAUUAAAAUAUCAGUAAAGCAAGUAGUUUUUAUCAAAGUUAGUAAUUAAAAUAUCAUUAACUAAUUUUAUAUUAUUUUCUUUUUUGCAGUAUUUUUCUAGUUGAAGACGUCAACAAUAUCUUGACAAUCAAAUCAUUAAAGUUAGGAAAGACUGGUGUUUAUAUGUAAUUAGUAUAUUUUCAUAGGUUAUGUUA
rnacentral:lncRNA from 1 species